UGCAUAGAGCCUCCAGGUGCUGCUGUGGUCAGGGACACACACACAUAGAUGGGCCUGGCCUGUGGAUCCCCUGUUGGCCCGAGGUGUUUAAAGCCUGGAGCUUGUAGGGCCCAGCACUUUGGAAAUCCAGAGGGCCUCCCCUGUUAAUCUUUAGGCAAAUAUUUUCUCUGCUCUGCUGGCUUCGUGGGCGGCACGUGGAACCCAGAAGGGUGGCUGUCUGUGGACGGAGGGCUGCUUCCUCCAGGUGUAAGUCUCUCCCUUCUGGAGGAGGCACUCUGGACCUCUUUGAUUUCCACUCAUAUCUUUUCCAGAAUGUUCCUUGUGUGAACAGAAGGAGGAGAAAGGGCCAGACUCCCAGGGCCCAAGUUUAGCUCUCGAUCUUUACAAGCAUGUUUGUUCCUGCUCUCAGAACCAGCUGGAAACGGCCAAGAUGAAGUUUCGACCCUAA